GUACCGUCAAGUCCCACGGGUAUUAUCCGUAGGAUUUUCUUCCCAAUCUGACAGAGCUUUACAACCCAUAGGGCCUUCUUCACUCACGCGGCAUCGCUCGGUCAGGCUUUCGCCCAUUGCCGAAGCUUCUCGA
rnacentral:rRNA from 1 species